rnacentral:sRNA from 1 species
GUCCCUGAAAAAGAAGGGGCCGGGUUGGGAAGCCCGAAUACUCAAAAGCGCACAAGCCGCGUCAUGCGGUUUUUUU